AUGGGAUGCAGGUUCUCCCUGGCUCUGGGAGCUGUUUGUGCCCACCCUGCUGUCCCUGCCCUGCCAUGUGGCUCCCUGAGGUCUGGGCCAGGUGUGACACUCGUGGUUUCCCCCUUUGCAGUGACUGCAGAACCAGGUGCCAAUUCCCAGAUCCCAGCUCAUUCCUCUCCCUCCAGCUGCUCAGAGCCAGCCUCCCUCUUUUGCAGCUCUGCAGUGGGAUUGCACCAUGAUCUCUUCCCAAGUGCUCGAUCCUCAGCUCUUGUUUCCCACACAAUCCCCUCACAGCUUCCUGCCCAACUUUCCAUCUCCCCCUCUCCAAACACUGCUUUGGAGUACAGAGCCAGUUUAAGUUACAUUUGGGGGGAAAAAAAAAAAGUAAACGAUCUACCUUUAACUGAACCAGAAAGAUCCUUCUGCACAUCUCCAACCUACCUCUAACAAGCUUCUCCUAGGAACCAAGAAGUUCUGCUUGUGCUACUCAAAACCACCUUGCCAGGCCCACAAGGCAGGGCUUGGACCACAGAGAAUCCCUCAGGUGGAGUCUGAGGAUCCGAGAGCCACCACCUGGAUAUGGGGACUGCGGGUGUGAGUCCAGGAGUCCUGCUGGGAUGGCUGGGGAGCAGGAACAUGCUGCUGGCAUGGGGGGACAGAGUGGCUGCGGGCAUUUAUUGCACUGCUUCUUCACAGAGGUGCAGGAGGAACAGCAGAGAGACACGCACAGGUCAUCGCUUCACUUUCGCAUCCUCUUUGAUCUUCCACACCAUCAGCUCCAUGCAGGCUCUGGCGUCCUCGCUGGAGUCGUGUCCUUCCACUGGGGACACAAACACAGGCCUGGCAGUGACCCCUCUGCUGCCUGCUCAGCUCAGCUCAGCACAGCUCAGCACAGCUCAGCACAGCGAGUUCCCCAGACAGAGCCAGCUGCUCCCUGGCCCCUGCAGCCACAGCCACACCUGGGAGCACCCUGAGCCACGGCCAGGGAUUUAAAGGAGAUGAAUUCCACAGAAUCCCAGAAUGGUUUGUGGUUUGUUCAAGCUCAUCCAGUGCCACCCCUGCCAUGGCAGGGACACCUCCCACUGUCCCAGGCUGCUCCAAGCCCCAAUGUCCAGCCUGGCCUUGGACACUGCCAGGGAUCCAGGGGCAGCCCCAGCUGCUCUGGGCACCCUGUGCCAGGGCCUGCCCACCCUCCCAGG
rnacentral:lncRNA from 13 species